AGGGCCUCAAGCUGCGCCAGACCGCCCAAACGCUCUCCCUGAACAAAAUUAAAAUACCUAACCUAGCUAGCGAAUCUCCCUGUUUUUUUCUUACCGUGUAUUUGCCGAGUAGAUACGUGUCCUUAAACGUAGCGGCGCUAAAUAGCACAGGCAUUGGUUAGAGGAAAAUGUAGCUUCAUUCUAGUCGGGCGCCAUGAGAAUCUCCUCGCUUCCUGUUCGUGUGGCCGGGUCUUAUUUAUUGUCUUUGGUCAAACCGAUCAGUAUCUGCGACACCGGCGCGCUAACUAAUUCUGGCGAUUGUUGCUUACUCGGAGUCGGACUGUUUUGUUAGCAUUUUAUGGUUAGUUAAUGUGUUAUUUCUCAUAAACGAGCAGACUAUUUCUUUAGUGCAAGGCGCAUCACGACGGUUCGCGCGGAGGAAUAUGUGCCGUUUUGCAGACGUUCACCAGAGGAGCAGACGUCGCACAAAUCUAAUUUUAGAAAAUGAAGCGAAAACUUCUGAAGCUGUCGUUGAUGUGACCCAAUGUUUGAAUUUGCAGCUUCUGUUUUGUCAAUAUAAUUUCAUUGUUUUGUGGACUAAGGCGACGGUGUCUUUAUAGUUUGGACACAAAAGUACUGUAUCCAUACACAUCCGCUUGUCCUCAUUAAAGUCGUGGACACGCUGGACUGGUCGCCAGCCAAUGUCAGAGCACAUAUUUAAACAUUGGACUGGUCGCCAGCCAUGAGCGACCAUAGACGUUUCUAGCACAUUUUUGGGGGUGCUGAAGCACCUCUAAAAUCGAUCUGAUCACCCCUAAAAUGUGGGAAAUUGCCCCAACAAUGGCCUGCUCCAAAGCAUUUGCGUUUCUUGUCCAUUUUUAGGGCUGCUGAAGCAGGGUUUUGGCUGGCCCUCAACAAGAUUUCAUAUGUGGCCCCAAAUAGUGGUAUGAAAAACUCUUAGUUUUCGGUCAAAGAAAUAACGAUUGUCAACGGGGGACCCACAUUUGUAUUUAUUCUUUCCACAGAUAUUGGACUCCACCGUCCAAUGACCAUUUUGCGGUUGUUGCUCACAUGUUGUGGGCACUCUGGCACCUCUAUUUGUUAGUGUUUUGACCGAAAAUAUUAUAUUACGUUUUUUUCUCCACUGAAAGUCCGCCUCAAACAAGCGAAAGAAGCAGUCAAAAAUAAUGAUGUGCGUGGUCUUUGUCAGCAUCAAUUGCAUUUCGGGAUAUAAUGUUUAGAUCAGGGGUAGUCAACUAACAUUUUAAAAGGUCCAGAUUGAGAACAUUUAUUGGAUCAAAGGGCAGGAUGAUCAUUUAGUGUCCAUUUAUUGUGAUAUUUAAGUAAACAAGUUGUUAUAUCUCAACAUCUGCCUGUAAUCAAUACCACUGUGAAAUCCUAAAACCUUUUGGCAUUUAUCAUUGUCAAGUAACACAGAAAUCAAGAAACAUGUAUGUAUGUACAGUUGUGCUCAUAAGUUUACAUACCCUGGCAGAAUUUGUGAAAUGUACACUAUAUUGCACAAAGUAUUCGCUCACCUGCCUUGACUCAUGUUUUUUUAGUGAUAGCCCAUUAUAAAUCCAUAUGGUUUUAAUAUGAUGUUGGUCUACCCUUUACAGCUGUAACAGCUUCAACUUGUGGAAAGGCUUUCAACAAGGUUUAGGAGUGAGUUUAUGGGAAUUUUGGCUGAACUCGCAUGUGAUUGGUCAGUACGGUUCAUCCCUACCGAAAGGUCCGUAAUGUUGCGUGACCUCUGGUUUCGAUUAUCUGAUGUUAUUGUGCUGUACAUUCGAAAAAUUAGUUGAAUUCUUACCUUUCCCACAAAUUAAAACUAAAUCAAGUGCAAGGCAGCCGGUAAGCACGUCAUACUUGGCUGUGAUUGUCACGUUAAUGUCAAUCAAACAAUCUCCACCGUGAUUGGCCAAAUGUUUUGGCGGCAUCUCAUUAGCCAAGCAAGUCAGUUUAGCUGUAAAAAUGAAGAGUACUUGUUAUGGUCAACAUGUUGAAAAUGUUGAGGAAAUGGUGACUGAUACACUGAAGCCCCCCUCAUAUAGGCAUUAAGAUGCCACUGGACAUAACAUACCUAUAUAAUUCGUAUAUGUAUAUAAUUUGUAUAUACUGUAUACCCCCCUCCUCCCAAUCGGUUGUGGCCCUAAACAACCGCAUAGACCACUUAUGCCACAUAAGCGUCCAUAAAAUGAUUCCCAGCACCCCUAAACUGCUGAUCCUAGAAUUGGCCUGCAGAGUCUUAUAGACAAACAAACUGGUCACCAGUCAAUGUCAGGGUAAAUAUCGACAAACAACGUAUUGUUCACCAGUCAAUAUCAAUGCUUCAGCUGCCGCAUCAAGUGGUUCCCUCAGUCGGGAACUUGGUCCAGCCUAGCUGCCGAAUCAUUGGCUAAGAUACGCCACUGCUCGAGUGAAGUGUGCAAGGGAGCCUCAGUCGCUGAUGCCCUUUGAAUUUACUGUACGGGACAAGCAGUCAAACUGACAACAGAGAACACUCGCAAGGAGCCACAGACCGGGAGGUUCAUCCCCGCUAGUCGGAUCACCGCCACGUUGAGUACGUGCAGGAAGAAGACCAGGAGGAGGAUCCAGAAGCAGACGUCGUAGCGCUCGUCGUGCGUCUGGAACACAAAGGUGACCUCCUCGAAGUUGGCGAUGCGCUCCGACAGGCGCUCGACUUUCACUUCGGACACGAACAGAACCACAACCAGGAAGCUGCACGCACCUGCCAGGAGGCGGAGUCCACAGAUGAUUGACAACUUCCCUACCACUGCGCUUGUGUGCCGCAGGACAUACGAAUACAGCAGAUGGCCGUCCACAAGUAAAGUCCCAUAGGGCCGUGCACCGUCUCAUAAGGACGUCCGAAGGCGUUGAAGAAGAAGAAGCCGCUCGACACGGACGAGAAGACGAUCAACGCGCCACAGAAGAAGAUGAUGGUCACAUGCAGACCUGCUGGGAUGGCGUCCAACAACUCUGAAAAGACUGACACACAAAAUUACACAAUUUAACGCACAUGACGAGGACAUUUGAAGACACUGUGAAGACAUUUAACCAGUGAGGACAAAAUUGAGGACACGUAGACACACGAGUGAGAAGAUUAGUAUUGAGGCCAAAGUAGUUUAGUGAGUGGUGAACAGAGCUGGGGAGUAUAACUAAUGUACAUGCAACAAGAUUAUGUAAUCUAAUUACGAAAUCUAUAAUUAUAAUCCAUGGGAGUUUCUAGCCCAUUUUGGGGAGUGCUGAAGCAACCCCAAAAAUUAAUCCCAGCACCCCUAAAAUUUGAUCCCAGAAUUAUUUAUUUAAACUGUAAAUUUCAAACAACCGAGAAAUGUUAAACCACAAUACGGUACUUGGUUGUAACGUAAUAUUUGAACAACAAAAAUACAGCAACCCCCCAUCACCUCAUCUGCCUCAAAAAUAGUUUCUGAUACCGAUAGUGCCCGUCUUAAACCAGGAUAUAAGGCAUCCAUCCAUCCAUUUUCUGAGCCGCUUCUCCUCACGAGGGUCGCGGGCGUGCUGGAGCCUAUCCCAGCUAUCAUCGGGCAGGAGGCGGGGUACACCCUGAACUGGUUGCCAGCCAAUCGCAAGGCACAUAUAAACAAACAACCAUUUGCACUCACAUUCACAUCUACGGGCAAUUUAGAGUUGUCAAUUAAGCUACGAUGCAUGUUUUUGGGAUGUGGUAGGAAACCAGAGUGCCCAGAGAAAACCCACGCAGGCACGGGGAGAAGAUGCAAACUCCACAUAGGCGGGGCCGGCGAUUGAACCCCAGUCCUCAGAACUGUGAGGCGGACGCUCUAACCAGUCGUCCAUAAAUCAGAUUUCUUAAUAUACUAUUAUCAUUACCAGUCUUCAUUUUGCUGCAUUUAAUCGUUGGGCACUGUUUAUGUUGUUAGGUUGGAGUUAUUUUUUAUUUUUAUUUUUUUUCUAGCUGUAGGGAAUGAUUCUGGUGGUCAGAAAGUAUGUCUGUCCUCUUUGAAUUGGAUUAAGAGAAGUUAGUUGUUGUGUCAUGUAAAUGUGAUAAUAUUAAAGCCAAGCUGCAACUGAA